AGAUCGUGGUGGAUUGAUGAGUGUGGUGGAGCUGCUGCUUUCACUGACAUUUCUGUCUUUUCUUGAACAUCCCAUAAACACACCAGAAGUGCCACAUGCAGUUGUGUACAUGCUUGGUGCCUCUGGACCGAGUGUAGUGAAUUCCAUUGCCCUGAUGACUGAAUUGAUUUAUAAGUCAAUGACUGGACAACGCAACAUUACUGACCUACGAGUAGUUCUGUUCCUGACUGAAAGUGUUUUCGUCAUAUGCUGGAUAUCAUUGACACUCUACUGUAUU